UAGGAAAAAUUUAAGUACAAAAAUCCUUUCUUGGUAUAAAAGAAUCAUGUAAAUUUUUCAAGAACACAAUGAAAAUAUUAAUUGCACAGCUUUUAACAUGUCAAAAGGCAAUGGCGAGAGAAGAAUGUGUACCUUAAUGGUUGGUAAACAGCUCUGUGCAUUGAAUAGGAGAAAGAUUUGAAAGGAAAUGAUCGUUAGGACCAUCUCAAUAAAAGGGUCAAACUUCAAUUUAGCAUCACCAUUUCUUUGACUCUGAAAAUCGAGUGAGGUGCUAAACCGAAGCACCUCGAAUAAAAGAUACUUCACAAGUUCGAAUUUGUGAUUUGUGAGAUGAAAAAGUCGUAGUAAUUCGCGUAUAAUGAAAGGUUCUCUAUUUUAGAGGAAGAUCCAUUCGUAAGUACUCCGUUUAAACUUUAUGAAGAUAGCGAAGAACCGUUUUAACAGGCGAUAUAUCGAGGUUUGACUGUACAGAAGACAAAUAAGAGAAUUACUCCGGUUAAAAAGGAACGUCACAACAAACAUCGAGAUAUUCGCAUUCACAGGAAAGAAACUACAGAAAGCUUUAUAAAUGAAUAAAUUUAAAUAUAUUCUGAUAACAUAUUUAGAGUUAGUUAUUUUUUAUUAUUAUUAAAUUUAAAGAAAUUAUUUAUUUUUUUAAACUUCUGAUUUUGGCACUGAAGUAUACUAGCUAUAUAACAACAUUUCAUUAAGUAUUAUAUUAUUAUUUUUAUAUAUAUGUAUAUAUAUAUAUAGCUGAAUUAAUCUCAAACAAACAACAUUUUGAUCUUUCAACGUCGCUCUUUAUAUAACAAUUCUUAGUAUUUAUUUAUUUUUAAAUCCUAACAAUAAUAAUCUUAUAUACAAAUCUUCAUCAUCUUAACAAUUAUUAUUAUUAUUAUUAAUAAUUUAUUUUAAUAAUUUGACAGCAUUUUGCAACUCAUUCUGUGCGUUAAUCUGUGCAUAUU